GACGAACGCUGGCGGCGGGCUUAACACAUGCAAGUCGAACGGAAAGGCCCUGCUUGUGUGGGGUUCUCGAGUGGCGAACGGGGGAGUAACACGUGAGUAACCGGCCCUUGACUUUGGGGUAACUUCAGGAAACUGGGGCUAAUACCAGAUAGGAGCUCCUGCUGCAUGGUGGGGGUUGGAAAGUUUCGGCGGGUGGGGAUGGACUCGCGGCUUAUCAGCUUGUUGGUGGGGUAGUGGCUUACCAAGGCUUUGACGGGUAGCCGGCCUGAGAGGGUGACCGGCCACAUUGGGACUGAGAUACGGCCCAGACUCCUACGGGAGGCAGCAGUGGGGAAUAUUGCACAAUGGGCGGAAGCCUGAUGCAGCAACGCCGCGUGCGGGAUGACGGCCUUCGGGUUGUAAACCGCUUUCGCCUGUGACGAAGCGUGAGUGACGGUAAUGGGUAAAGAAGCACCGGCUAACUACGUG
rnacentral:rRNA from 1 species